GCCAAACACAGCGGUGGGAGGCCUCGUUAGGGAAAGUGUGCACCUCCGUUCAAGAAAGCUUUGGUGUAAGAACGGACCUCUGGAAUGGAUUAAGUAUGUAACCCGAGGUACCACUGGAAUAGAAUCCUUAGCCCUUGGAUUAGAGUGUAUGUUGUCUCAAGGCUACAGUUAUUUAUUAUUAUCUACCUGUUUUUCAAUUAAAACUUACAUAAUUUCAGGAAAAAAUCAUAUACAGUGAUAGCCAGAUAGCCAACCCCCUACGUUAAAACAACAAAAAAGCAGCAGUAAAAUAACGCCAGUCUUACAUUUCUAAGAUUUAAAAAUAGCAGACCAGACCAAAUU